rnacentral:tRNA from 1 species
GCCUGGGUGGCUCAGUCGUUUGAGCGUCCGACUUUGGCUCAGGUCAUGAUCUCGCGGUCCGUGGGUUCGAGCCCCGCGUCGGGCU